UACGGAGGGUGCGAGCGUUGUCCGGAAUCACUGGGCGUAAAGGGCGCGUAGGCGGCCUGUUAAGUCACACGUGAAAUCCCUCGGCUCAACUGGGGAACUGCGUCCGAUACUGGAUGGCUUGGAUUUGGGAGAGGGAUGCGGAAUUCCAGGUGUAGCGGUGAAAUGCGUAGAUAUCUGGAGGAACACCGGUGGCGAAGGCAGCCCCCUGGGCUAACACUGACGCUCUGCACGAAAGCGUGGGGAGCAAACAGG
rnacentral:rRNA from 1 species